rnacentral:rRNA from 1 species
CCUACGGGUGGCAGCAGUGGGGAAUAUUGCACAAUGGGCGCAAGCCUGAUGCAGCCAUGCCGCGUGUAUGAAGAAGGCCUUCGGGUUGUAAAGUACUUUCAGUUGGGAGGAAGGCGUUGAUGCUAAUAUCAUCAACGAUUGACGUUACCAACAGAAGAAGCACCGGCUAACUCCGUGCCAGAAGCCGCGGUAAUACGGAGGGUGCAAGCGUUAAUCGGAAUUACUGGGCGUAAAGCGCACGCAGGCGGUUGAUUAAGUUAGAUGUGAAAUCCCCGGGCUUAACCUGGGAAUGGCAUCUAAGACUGGUCAGCUAGAGUCUUGUAGAGGGGGGUAGAAUUCCAUGUGUAGCGGUGAAGUGCGUAGAGAUGUGGAGGAAUACCGGUGGCGAAGGCGGCCCCCUGGACAAAGACUGAAGCUCAGGUGCGAAAGAGUGGGGAGCAAACAGGAUUAGAUACCCCUGUAGUC